rnacentral:rRNA from 1 species
UACGCAGGGGGCUAGCGUUGUUCGGAAUUACUGGGCGUAAAGCGCGUGUAGGCGGGCCGUUAAGUCGGGGGUGAAAGCCCAGAGCUCAACUCUGGAACUGCCUUCGAUACUGGCGGCCUGGAGCAUGAUAGAGGCGAGUGGAAUUGCGAGUGUAGAGGUGAAAUUCGUAGAUAUUUGCAGGAACACCAGUGGCGAAGGCGACUCGCUGGAUCAUUGAUGACGCUGAGACGCGACAGCGUGGGGAGCAAACAGG